rnacentral:lncRNA from 1 species
CUCCAAGAUGACCCAGUGGCAUCUCCACUACGUGCUGGAGACUGAGAGGCUCAGGACAGUGCCUGAAGUUCAUUCACCCUCAGGCUACGUCUUCAGGGACUCUGAUCUGCUACUAAAACCAAGCCCCAGGGAGUGAAGGUCCCUGCCAUGUCAUCCCUCUGAUCUCCUCCCUGUGAGGGCAAAGAAAACUACUGGGUGUUGAUCAUCCAGCACCGGUAGAACCUGCAGUCAGCUCUUAGACUCCAGUAUAAUUGUGAAGUGUGCUGCAGCAAACAGUUUCCCCUGGGACCAAGGCUCUGGAUUGACUUCAGCAAUUCUUGGCACUACCCAC